rnacentral:lncRNA from 1 species
CAAAUAUACAUGAACAUUGUUAAAGAUUGAAAUAAACAAUUAAUUUCACAAUAGGCGACAAUGGCAGCCUUUUUCGUGAUACAGACUUUAGAAAGUGAUUUUUUUUAACAAAACCUUGCUAGAAUCAAAGAAAAGUUAUUGGGAACAGUAUUUUUUGGACAAUAAAAUAUAGGUUCGCUGUGCUUUUCUUAGCGUAUUUUGUACUUAUCGUCCAUGCCUGUCAAUUUUCCCCUUAAAAUUACGUGUCUUGUCCUAGCGUUGAAAAGUUACCUCAGUGCCGUUAGUGAUACGGAAUUUUAUUUUUGUUUUGCCUUCUGUAUAAAGCAGAGUGCACGAAGUCUUUAAUAAUAAAAAUACGGGCGCACAUAUCACCAAUCAGGAUUAGAUAAUACUCUUUAUUCUGAAUACCAUAAAAUGGCUGCGCCUAUAAAAUCCAAUGGUGUAUCCCUUGCAUAACGGAAAAGAAUUUUUCUUUUAUGAUACAUACAAAUAGGUUCAAAUUUGUAACUUAUGAGACAUCUUGCGUUUAAUUAUUGGGAAAAGAGAUAUAUUUUUAUCAGUGCUAUUGUUUAUUAUUUUUGAUUGUUAGCUAAGAUUAUUACCAAAC